rnacentral:rRNA from 1 species
CUACGGGAGGCAGCAGUCGAGAAUUUUUCUCAAUGGGGGAAACCCUGAAGGAGCGACGCCGCGUGGGGGAUGAAUGGCUUCGGCCCGUAAACCCCUGUCAUUUGCGAUCAAACCUUACGUUUUAAUAAAGCGUAAGCUGAUAGUAGCGGAAGAGGAAGGGACGGCUAACUCUGUGCCAGCAGCCGCGGUAAUACAGAGGUCCCAAGCGUUGUUCGGAUUCACUGGGCGUAAAGGGUGCGUAGGCGGUCGGGUAAGUCUGACGUGAAAUCUUCGAGCUCAACUCGGAAACUGCGUCGGAUACUAUUUGGCUCGAGGAAUGGAGGGGAGACUGGAAUACUUGGUGUAGCAGUGAAAUGCGUAGAUAUCAAGUGGAACACCAGUGGCGAAGGCGAGUCUCUGGACAUUUCCUGACGCUGAGGCACGAAAGCCAGGGGAGCAAACGGGAUUAGAAACCCGGGUAGUCC